rnacentral:rRNA from 1 species
GAUGAACGCUGGCGGCGUGCCUAAUACAUGCAAGUCGAGCGAACAGACGAGGAGCUUGCUCCUCUGACGUUAGCGGCGGACGGGUGAGUAACACGUGGAUAACCUACCUAUAAGACUGGGAUAACUUCGGGAAACCGGAGCUAAUACCGGAUAAUAUAUUGAACCGCAUGGUUCAAUAGUGAAAGACGGUUUUGCUGUCACUUAUAGAUGGAUCCGCGCCGCAUUAGCUAGUUGGUAAGGUAACGGCUUACCAAGGCAACGAUGCGUAGCCGGCCUGAGAGGGUGAUCGGCCACACUGGAACUGAGACACGGUCCAGACUCCUACGGGAGGCAGCAGUAGGGAAUCUUCCGCAAUGGGCGAAAGCCUGACGGAGCAACGCCGCGUGAGUGAUGAAGGUCUUCGGAUCGUAAAACUCUGUUAUUAGGGAAGAACAAAUGAGUAAGUAACUAUGCACGUCUUGACGGUACCUAAUCAGAAAGCCACGGCUAACUACGUG